GAUGAACGCUAGCGAUAGGCCUAACACAUGCAAGUCGAGGGGCAGCAUAGAGUAGCAAUACUUUGAUGGCGACCGGCGCACGGGUGAGUAACACGUAUGCAACCUACCUACAUCAGGGGAAUAACCCGGAGAAAUUCGGACUAAUACCGCAUAAUACAGGGAUGCCGCAUGGCAAUAUUUGUUAAAGAUUUAUCGGAUGUAGAUGGGCAUGCGUUCCAUUAGCUAGUUGGUGAGGUAACGGCUCACCAAGGCAACGAUGGAUAGGGGAAGUGGGGGGUUUGGCACCCACACUGGAACUGAGACACGGACCAGACUCCUACGGGAGGCAGCAGUGAGGAAUAUUGGUCAAUGGACGAGAGUCUGAACCAGCCAAAUCGCGUGAAGGAAGACUGCCCUACGGGUUGUAAACUUCUUUUGUACAGGAAUAAAAGACAUUACGUGUAAUGUAUUGCAUGUACUGUACGAAUAAGCAUCGGCUAACUCCGUGCCAGCAGCCGCCGUAA
rnacentral:rRNA from 1 species